rnacentral:tRNA from 1 species
ACCUGGGUGGCUCAGUUGGUUAAGCGUCUGACUUCGGCUCAGGUCAUGAUCUCAUGGUUCGUGGGUUCGAGCCCCGUGUCAGGCU